UACGUAGGUGGCAAGCGUUGUCCGGAUUUACUGGGCGUAAAGAGCGCGCAGGCGGUCGUUCAAGUCGAGUGUGAAAGCCCCCGGCUCAACUGGGGAGGGUCACUCGAUACUGAUCGACUCGAAGGCAGAAGAGGGAAGCGGAAUUCCCGGUGUAGUGGUGAAAUGCGUAGAUAUCGGGAGGAACACCAGUGGCGAAGGCGGCUUCUGGUCUGCUCUGACGCUGAGGCGGCGGAAAGCCUAAGGGUAGCAAACGGGG
rnacentral:rRNA from 1 species